AUGGGUGAAGAAGGCAGUAUUCGAUUAAAAAAUUGCUUUCGAACACAGUUAGCUGAUUGUUUUAUUGAGAAUAACAUCAACAAUGUCCAGGCGAACUCAAUACUUACAGUUCUCAGAUCACAUCGCUGUUUGGCCUCUCUUCCACAAGAUGUAAGAACAUUGAUUGGGACUUGCAAUCGUCGCGUUGAAUUGAUUGAUGUUAAACCCGGAAAAUAUUGGCAUGUAGGUUUUGUUGCUGGAAUUUUAAAAGAACUGUCGAAACACACAUAUGCCAUACCUAAUAUCUUAGAAAUCGAUGUUAGUACUGAUGGAGCUGCUGGUGCAAAAGACGGUUCAACUCAGUAUUGGCCUAUCCAGUUCCGAAUAAUAAAUAUUCCUGAUAGCUCUAUACUUAUCGCAGGUGUCUAUUAUGGGAAGGGUAAGCCAAAAGACCCGAACAAUUUCUUUAAAAUGUUCACAAAUGAAGUCCAAGAGGUUUUCGCCAGCGGUGGUAUCCAUUUCAAGAAUCAUUUAGUAAAAAUAAAAUUCAGAUGCUUCAUAGCUGAUGCUCCGGGUUGAUACCUUGGAGGUAUUUAAGAGUUUGAAGAAGAUCCUGAAAGACAACGAUCUCUAAGACACUAUCUUAUUAACGUUGGUGGUGUCACAGCUAGAGAUGCUCUCAACCCAUUUCUGAAGGAAGCCAUGACGGAUAGCCUGACACAAAAAUUCUCUUGGACUGGAAAGUCUGUUUCAGAUAAAGAGAAUCUCCGACCGUUAUUUGAUACCUGUAUCGGAAAGGUAUUUUUUGGUUUCGAUGAUUGUUUACGCAGAUGCUUUACGUGAGUGUUGAACAAUACCACAGCCACAUGAUCGUACAGAAUUUGCGAGACUGAUGCAAGAGGCAAUUCGGGGUGCACGAAAAAGAUUGCAGGAUGCAAAACGACGUGCCAUUCGCUCUGUCCAUGUGGAGGGUCGCAGACAAAAAUAUAUGGCUGAAAUGGCUCAUCGUUACGAGGUUGAACACCCAGGACAAUGACACUGCGGAAUAAGAGACCCACAAUUUGCCUAUUAAAGAUCCUACAUGUAUUCAAACAUACGUACCUAUGUACUUUGUUUGACUAAGAAAUAUUUUAGUACGUAUAGCUGUGAUGUUAGUUUUUAUGUUUAUGCUCAAGCAUAGUAUUUAUAAUUGGUACUGCAGCUGUGAUAUCCACAAGUGACAUGUAACUAUAUGUUUUCCAAUGAAACAUUAUACCUAUAUCAACAAAUGCGGCGGGUUUGUACUAACAUAGCUAACAUUUAGAUACUGUAGACGCUUUUGGUAUCUGGUAUAAAUUUUAGUCUUCUGACAUUUAUAUAAAGUAUUAAUUUUUAUUUUUUGAUUUCA